rnacentral:rRNA from 1 species
AGAGUUUGAUCCUGGCUCAGGAUGAACGCUAGCGGCAGGCUUAACACAUGCAAGUCGAGGGGCAGCAUAAUGGUAGUAAUACUAUUGAUGGCGACCGGCGGACGGGUGCGUAACGCGUAUGCAACCUACCCUUUACAGGGGGAUAACACUGAGAAAUCGGUACUAAUACCCCAUAAUAUUCCGGGAGGCAUCUUUCGGAGUUGAAAGCUUUGGUGGUAAAGGAUGGGCAUGCGUUGUAUUAGCUAGUUGGUAAGGUAACGGCUUACCAAGGCGACGAUACAUAGGGGGACUGAGAGGUUAACCCCCCACAUUGGUACUGAGACACGGACCAAACUCCUACGGGAGGCAGCAGUGAGGAAUAUUGGUCAAUGGACGGAAGUCUGAACCAGCCAUGCCGCGUGCAGGAAGACGGCUCUAUGAGUUGUAAACUGCUUUUGUACGAGGGUAAACGCAGAUACGUGUAUCUGCCUGAAAGUAUCGUACGAAUAAGGAUCGGCUAACUCCGUGCCAGCAGCCGCGGUAAUACGGAGGAUCCAAGCGUUAUCCGGAUUUAUUGGGUUUAAAGGGUGCGUAGGCGGUUUAGUAAGUCAGCGGUGAAAUUUUGGUGCUUAACACCAAACGUGCCGUUGAUACUGCUGGGCUAGAGAGUAGUUGCGGUAGGCGGAAUGUAUGGUGUAGCGGUGAAAUGCUUAGAGAUCAUACAGAACACCGAUUGCGAAGGCAGCUUACCAAACUAUAUCUGACGUUGAGGCACGAAAGCGUGGGGAGCAAACAGGAUUAGAUACCCUGGUAGUCCACGCAGUAAACGAUGAUAGCUCGUUGUCGGCGAUACACAGUCGGUGACUAAGAGAAAUCGAUAAGCUAUCCACCUGGGGAGUACGUUCGCAAGAAUGAAACUCAAAGGAAUUGACGGGGGCCCGCACAAGCGGAGGAACAUGUG